rnacentral:tRNA from 1 species
GGCCCAUUAGCUCAAUUCGGCAGAGCAGCUGACUCUUAAUCAGUUGGUUGGAGGUUCGAGUCCUCCAUGGGUCA